rnacentral:lncRNA from 1 species
AGCCGAUCGGUAAAACAAGCGUACCCGUUUGAACGCCGCCCGCGCGCCGCUUUAGCUACUGUAGCCGCAGCCUCUUAGCACAACAUGCUAGCCCUCUCUAAUAAAACACCGGCGAGAACGCUUCCUGCUCAACAGAACACCGUUAACACGUUUGUGUACUGACGUCUUAAACACACGGAACCGAGUUUUAGAGAAAUUAAGAUGUGCAGCUUUUUUUUUUAAAGUCGGGAUUCGCUCAGAAGUCGUGACACCGAGUGCUAGCCUACGACGGGCUCGUCAAGGCCACGGCGGAGUUCGCUAGUUUGGGUCAGUGGAUCUUCUCAGACACGUUCAUUUUCCUGCUGAUGGCUCUAGAGUUGUCUGCUUCACCGGGUCGAGCUGAGGUGAGCAAACUUACAGUAGUUCUUUCUGCUGAGGGAUUCAGUCUGCGAAUUUCAAAGCUCCGAAGUUCGACGGCGGUGAUCUGGUGCUCCUUCAUCC